GAUAAACGCUGGCGGCGUGCAUAACACAUGCAAGUCGAACGAUGAAACUUGAAUGAUUUCUUCGGAAUGAACUUAAGUGGAUUAGUGGCGAACGGGUGAGUAACACGUGAGUAACCUGCCUUACACAAGGGGAUAGCCUCUGGAAACGGAGAAUAAUACCCUAUAAAGUCUAAUCAGCCCAUGCUGGAAAGACCAAAGAUUUAUCGGUGUAAGAUGGACUUGCGUCUGAUUAGCUAGUUGGUGAGAUAAAAGCUCACCAAGGCGACGAUCAGUAGCCGGCUUGAGAGAGUGUACGGCCACAUUGGGACUGAGACACGGCCCAAACUCCUACGGGAGGCAGCAGUGGGGAAUUUUGCACAAUGGGGGAAACCCUGAUGCAGCGACGCCGCGUGAUUUAGAAGGCCUUCGGGUUGUAAAAAUCUUUUUUACGGGAUGAAAAUGACAGUACCGUAAGAAUAAGGUCCGGCUAAAUACGUGCCAGCAGCCGCGGUAAUACGUAUGGACCGAGCGUUGUCCGGAAUCAUUGGGCGUAAAGGGUACGUAGGCGGCCUAGUAAGUUAGAAGUUAAAGAAUAUAGCUCAACUAUAUAAAGCUUUUAAAACUGCUAGGCUUGAGAGAUGGAAGGGAAAGUGGAAUUCCUAGUGUAGCGGUGAAAUGCGCAGAUAUUAGGAAGAAUACCGGUGGCGAAGGCGACUUUCUGGUCAUCAUCUGACGCUGAGGUACGAAAGCGUGGGUAGCAAACAGGAUUAGAUACCCUGGUAGUCCACGCUGUAAACGAUGAGUGUUAGGUUCUUGGAAUAAUCUGGGAGCCGCAGCUAACGCAUUAAACACUCCGCCUGGGGAGUACGCACGCAAGUGUGAAACUCAAAGGAAUUGACGGGGACCGCACAAGCAGCGGAGCAUGUGGUUUAAUUCGACGCAACGCGAAGAACCUUACCAAGUCUUGACAUAUUUCGGAGGGAAUUAGAGAUAAUUCCUUACGACUUCGGUCGACUGAAAUACAGGUGGUGCAUGGUUGUCGUCAGCUCGUGUCGUGAGAUGUUGGGUUAAGUCCCAUAACGAGCGCAACCCCUAUCGUUAGUUACCAUCAUUAAGUUGGGGACUCUAGCGAUACUGCCGGUGAUAAACCGGAGGAAGGUGGGGACGACGUCAAAUCAUCAUGCCCUUUAUGACUUGGGCUACACACGUGCUACAAUGGCAGAUACAGAGGGCAGCGAAAGAGUGAUCUGAAGCGAAACUCACAAAAUCUGUCCCAGUUCGGAUUGUACUCUGCAACUCGAGUACAUGAAGUUGGAGUUGCUAGUAAUCGCGAAUCAGAAUGUCGCGGUGAAUGCGUUCCCGGGUCU
rnacentral:rRNA from 1 species